CGGAGGUACUCGAGUGGCGAACGGGUGAGUAACACGUGGGUGAUCUGCCCUGCACUCUGGGAUAAGCCUGGGAAACUGGGUCUAAUACCGGAUAGGACCAUGCUUUAGUGUGUGUGGUGGAAAGUUUUUUCGGUGUAGGAUGAGCCCGCGGCCUAUCAGCUUGUUGGUGGGGUAAUGGCCUACCAAGGCGGCGACGGGUAGCCGGACUGAGAGGUUGGUCGGCCACAUUGGGACCGAGAUACGGCCCAG
rnacentral:rRNA from 1 species